AUUUUUCAUUUUUCAGUUGAAAAAAUAAAUAAAAGAAGAGGAAGGAGGAAGAUGUGCCAGGCAGAGGGGACAGCAUUUGCAAAGAUUGGGAUGGAGAUGUGCAAUCCAAGACUCAGAGAAGCUGGAGAAUUUCCCUAAUGUCACACAGCAAAGGAAUGGAAGAAUACAUGAUCCUCUCCUCCCAACAUGUCACCCAGCAGGUGCAUGGCAGGUGUAUAUGUGAGUUUGCAGCUCAAUCCUGGCCAAGGGGAUCUGAGGACUGCUGAAGAGGCAUGUCUGCACAUGCCGCCUAGAACAUCUCCAGCCAUCAUAUGAUCCCUGGGGGAGGCAUUCCCAACUCUGAGAGAAGCAGAACAGAAAGAUGGAAAGAAAGCGCCUAGCUCCAGGAUGAAGACAUUGAGCCGCUGAAUUAACCAUCUUUGUGUUGCUCUAACCUUCAGAGUUCACCUUAACACGAGAAAAUAAAACCCUUAUUGCUUAGCCACUGGGAUCUUCUUUUAUAUGCAGCCAAAAGUAUCUUAACUGAUAUAAUUAUCUCUCCCACAUAGAAAUGGGGGCUUAUGUGCCCAAAUAGACAAUGCACAAGUAUUUUAUUAUAGCAUUGCAUGUAAUCGUGAGACAUUAAGAGUAACCUGAAAUGUGCGUCAGAGGGGACCUAGGGAAAUAAACUGUGAUUCAGUAACACUAUGGAAUUUGAGGCAGCCGUUAACAGCAACUAGGUAAAUUUUUAUGUGCUGAUCCCAACAUCUCCAAGAUCUCUAAGACAUUUAAGUUUUUAGAAGUUGUGAAAGAAAUACAUAUGGUAUAAUCCCAUUUACGAAAAACAAAAUAAUCCUUAAAAUAAAAUGUGUGAAGAUUCAUAUAUAUACACAUUCAUACCUAUAGAAAAAGGGGGUAGGAGGAAUCACAUCAUAUACAUAAAAGCAUUUGCCUCUGGAGCUGGGAGAUGGGCAGUGGGUGAGAGUUAAGAUAAACUUGUGCUUUUUUAUGUAUGGCACUUGUCCUUUUAGCAACACAAAUGAGUGAAUUUAUGGCUUUGUCAUAAAAAAGAUAACGUUUGGAAAAUAGCCCACAUGCUCGUUAUAGAAAAAUCUAGCAAAUGCUAGAAUGCACAGAUGUAAGUUUUGUUCAAACCAUGCAAGACAGAGGGGUUUGUUGUUGUUGUUGUUGUUUAGAAAAACACAAUAUUUCCGGUUUCCUGGGGGCAAAGAGGAACUUCUCUUCAGGCCCUCAAAUGAUUUUCAUGUGUGUGGCACAAUUACUGGGGCAGAGUUCAGUGUUUUUAAUCAAAAGCUACUUGUCAAGUAGGUAAUAUCACUUUGCCUAGCCUGCGUAAACAAAGCUUUGUGAGGACUGGGUUUGGAAAGUGGAAGAGCUGAAUCAUUUAAAUUGGAGUGUGUGUGUGUGUGUGUGUGAGAGAGAGAGAGAGAGAGAGAAAGGAGAAAGAGAGAGACAGGGGGAGAGAGAGAGAGAGAGACAGAGUUGGGGGAGAAGAGGGGAGGAGGAUGGAGUGCUCUAUGUGAUAUACACGGUUCUGGAGAAUUCUCCAUAGAAAUAUCCACCCUGUGUUUUCCAGCACCGGUUCUGCUCCCAACCACUUGGAACCAUAAGAAUUUGACCUUCCAAAGGAGAGAGGCUUCCUCGCGAUGCUUGGUUGGUAAUGACUGAGUUGUAGGCACGGACUGUUUUGUAAUUGCCUUCCAGUUGUCUCCUACAUUUUUCUGAGUUGGGUACCAUUAGUCUCAAGGCUCCUGUCAUGUGGCCAUUAAAUCAUUGUUUUAUCUGACAGCGUCAUUUCUGCAAAACCCUGGAGAGAAAACACUACACAUUUUCCAGGACUGGAAUGCUGCCACCUGGUCAUUAUGCCCAGCAGCCCUCAGACAGCUACCCCUAAAGACGUGCACCUUUGGGGCAACGGCACCAUGGCUCCCCAGACUAAACAGCUCUGGAGGGCUUACUGUGUUACUGGUUGUGUUUUUUUUUUAAUGAGUGGAAUUACCCUGGUCAGCAAACAGCCUCUAGCACUAAUUUAGGAGACUGAUUCUGACAAAUGGGUGUAAAGAAAAGAAGAAUGGCAGGAAAAACAUUGCUUUUCAGAAAUCAAAAAGGAUGCUUUUCUGAGGGUAUCACUUAUUUUUCCUUCCACCCCUGCAAACUACCCAGGGCGAAAGCAGAAGAAAAAUGUUCCCGACAGGGUCUAAUUGUUAUCUGAAAUAAAUGAGAACAGGGAGGUUUGAGGACUCCCGAACAUGGACAGAUGAGGUGGGAGGAAUUGUUUUCGUGACUGAUUUCCAACAGCCAAGCUGCAAGGCUGAAUAAAGAGGAUGCCAGUGAGUCCUUAACAAAACAAUAAAAAACCAAGGCUUGCCACCUUCAGGGAUCAUAAUUUAUUCAUUCAACAAAUAAAUGAUUGAAUGGUUAGUGGUUGUUCUGUGCUGGACAUUCUUCUAGGAGCUGGGGACACAGCAAUGAACCAAGCAAUGUCUCUCUAUCUUAACUGGGCUCUGAAUAGGAAAGAGAUGGUGCACUCAAAUUGGGAAUUGGAGGAGGACUUGAAUAAAGGGACUAUUUGCACAGACUGUUUGCAAAGAUCCCCCUACAAGGGAUUGUGCAGUCCCCUGGGGCUAGCAACAGCAGGGAGCUGUUACCACCCUGAAAGGGCACAGAGGGGGAGCAGUGACUGGCAGUGAAGAGGUUGGUGGUAGGGAGAUGCCAUGUGACAGGAGCCAGGACCAGAGAAUCAUAACCAACCAAGUCCAUGUAGCGAAAAUGAGACUGGGAACAGAGACUCCAACCUUUCUCUCCCCUUACCCUUUUGUAUUAGUCUGUUUUCAGGCUAUUG